UGUUUAAUUGUGUUAAAUUCUAUUAAUAUGCUCUUAUCUCUCGUUUAUUAACAAAAUUUUAAUCCAAUUCUAUUGAUCUGACGGCAACAUGGUGCGUCCAAAUGCGGAGGAAUGAUUGUCAAAUAAUUUUACGUGCGAUUUCGUGACAACUAAUUUUACAAAUGAUGGUAGGUGUUACUAUGUCUCUAAAAAGGUGUGGUGUAGUACCUCGUUAAGUGAAACCGAAGGGUUAGCGUGUCUUUCUUACAUAAAAGCAGCAACAGCGUGAGAGAGUCGGUCGCAAAAUGAUUAUAUUAUAUUCCUGGAUUAUUCUAUUUACUCUUGGUAAGAAAUUUAUUAUUUCAAUUUACGAUGCGCAAUUAAUUUUGCUGUACAAUAUCCCUGGUGAAAAAUUUUCUUGAAAUUCUGCACAUCAUAUUUCAGAACUCUCAUAUAAAUUUUAUAAUUUUUUAGAAAAUUCGUUAGACUUUUUAUACAAAUGGAACACUUCAAAAAUGUUGAGAAAGUCUAU